rnacentral:lncRNA from 1 species
GAUGGGUCUCUUGAGCGAUAAAGCCACUGAGCUGGCACUAAAAAAAAGUACUCCUUAAGGGAAAAUCUAAGUCCAGAGAGACAACCGGUAACAGAUAGGCUGCCCCUCUGCUCACUUUUCUGUUUCACAGACACAAGGUCUUUUUGUCCCAAAAAAGCCUCCUGGCUUAGCUGUGUGACUAAAUGCUGUUUGCCCUCUUCAGUGGACCUCUAUUCUCAAGAUUCCCUUGUUUUCUCACCAUCCCAUUUAAGAUGCUUGUUAGUAACUGUUACAGGUCUCCUUUACCACCGAGGAAAGACGGAAUCCUACUAGAGGCUAGAAAAAGUGUUCCAGAGAUGGAUAGAAGGCCCUCACUUCUGCCUGCUCUCUUCAGACACCUAAAGGUAGGGAGUGCCAGGUCUGCUGCCAGGCUCCAA